CUCAGGAGACAAGUAAGAGUCUCAUCUGAGGACUUCUCUUGUCAGCAUCAGGAGACUUAGGGAGAAUAAGUUGAGAGUAUGUGCUCCCUGAGGGAGAAUAAUUAGUUACAAUGAGAAAUUACCAAAUGGUAAACCCCUCCCUGCCCUUGCUGGUCAGACCCAAGAACAGUUUUCCAACUCUGGGACUCAUAAUCUCUGCAGUCUCUUCCCAAAAGAUCUGUGUUGGCAAACUUAUGGAAUACCUGCCAGAGAGGACUGCUCCCCUUCCCUUCUCCAUGCACACCUCAGGAUAUUUCUCACAUCAUCCAAACCUCUGCCAAGCAGUCCAAUGGGAGUGCUAUCCCCCUUCCCCAACUGAAGUAAGGUGGGUUGCUCACAUACUAUGUGAGGGUUGCGGUUUGGGCACUUGAUCUCUAAAAGUUUCACCAUCAGUGACCUAGAUGACAGAUACGAGUGAUGACUUCUAUUCAAUCUGAAGCUUUCUGGACCAAUGCCUCUGGGUUGACUCUCACAAAACAGUAUUUUCACAAAACAAUUCACAAAACAAUUUUCUUAUAUUUAACAU
rnacentral:lncRNA from 1 species